UAGGGAAUAUUGGACAAUGGGGGCAACCCUGAUCCAGCAAUGCCGCGUGAGUGAUGAAGGCCUUAGGGUUGUAAAGCUCUUUUGCCAGGGACGAUGAUGACGGUACCUGGAGAAUAAGCCCCGGCUAACUUCGUGCCAGCAGCCGCGGUAAUACGAAGGGGGCUAGCGUUGUUCGGAAUCACUGGGCGUAAAGCGUGCGCAGGCGGCUAUGCAAGUCAGGGGUGAAAUGCCAAGGCUUAACCUUGGAACUGCCUUUGAAACUGCAUAGCUAGAGUCCCGGAGGGGUUAGUGGAAUUCCUAAUGUAGCAGUGAAAUGCGUAGAUAUUAGGAGGAACACCAGUGGCGAAGGCGGCUAACUGGACGGGUACUGACGCUCAUGCACGAAAGCGUGGGGAUCAAA
rnacentral:rRNA from 1 species